rnacentral:lncRNA from 1 species
GCUGUUUUAAUUUGUAGAAAUUCUUGAGCAUACUUACCUUGUAUUUAUUGCCUGAUCAAAACGGGAUCAGAGGAGAGGAAUGCCAUACUCUUAGAUCAAAGACUUUGGAAAUUAAAAACUUGUCAACUCUUACUGGCAUAUUGCUUAUUAGAGGGACCAUGGGCUAUCUUUUUCUUCUUUCUUUCUCUCUUCUUUUUUUUCAGGUGGAUACCGAGGUACCCCUAAUUCUACUACCGGACACUUGUCCAUUUUUUCGGCG